AUUUAUCGCAGCACACUUGAAGGACGCUCACGGUACAUCGGUUGAAAACCACUGUAUUAGAGGAACCACUAAGGUCAAGCUUAUACGUUAAGUAGUUUAUGAGGUAUAGCGAUCAGUGAGUUUCUUUCGAUGGUCUCCGGAUUCAUAAUUUCUAUAAUUCCAUACGACACUGCAAUGGUCCAUUUCGUGAAAAUGGCAUAGCGAAUCACCCCAAAAAUAAUAAAUAGUGUUUAUUUAACGUAGUGAGGUUUAACUAAAAAACAAAAUGGAACACGUCGAUGCAAAAAUGAAAUAUCCGAAGUCCACAUGGUUUUUAAUUGUUUAUAAUUUAUUCGAAAAAUUUACCUUUUUUGGUUACAAAACUAUUUUAGUGUUAUAUUUGAUGAAAACAUUGAACUUUAAAGACGAUCAGACAAUGAUCAUAUACCAUAGUUUUAUAUGUCUGACAUUUAUAUGUCCAUUGAUCGGAGCAAUCUUAGCAGACUCAUUUUGGGGAAAAUUCAAAACAAUAUAUAGAUUUUUAACAAUAUAUAUCUUAGGAGGCGUUACACUCACUGGUGCUUCAAUAGUAGAUAUGUUUGGUAGCGACAUUCAAAAGUAUAUUUCAAUGAUUGGGUUAUUUUUAAUAUACAUCAGUGCUGGCAUCAUAAAACCAUCUGGUUUCACUUUUGCGGGUGAUCAAUUCCAAUUCCCUCAACAGCAACAGCAGUUUCAACAUUAUAUUAUAAAAUUCAUAAUGUCUUUGGAAAUCGGUUCGGUAUUAUCGUCAUUCCUGAUGCCUGAAUUAAGACACAGCGUACAUUGUUUUGGAAAAAGCUCGUGUUUUCCUUUAGCAUUUGGAGUAUUAGUCUUGACAGAGUUAAGUGCACUAGCUGCAUUACUGUCGGGUGGAAACUUGUACGUGAAAAAGAAGCCGGAACGCAACGUCAUCACGAGAACGUUCGGUUGCAUAUUCUACGCGUUGGGCAAAACGUUCACGUCGGGCACGUCGCGCGACAACGUCCGAUUUCUCGACCGCGCCAAACCCGAGUACACGGACGAGGAGAUAGCGGACACCAGGAGUGCCCUGAACGUGAUCACCGUGUUCACGGCGUACCCGGUGUUUUGGGCGCUGAACGAACAACAGACUUCACGAUGGACGUUGCAGGCCACGUUGAUGAACGGUCGUUUCGACUUCAUGAAUUGGACAAUCAAACCCGAUCAGUUCCAUACCAUCUCUCCAAUGUGUGAACUGAUAUUCCUCAUACUGUUCGACGGCACGCUUAACCCGUUGCUUGCAAAGAUUGGUAUACGAAAAUCCUUACAGAAAAUCACAUUGAGCGGUUUUUUAGCGACCAUGGCGUUUAUUGCUGCUGCUCUACUGGAAUUCAGAAUUCUAGGUAUCAGUACUGUUAUACCUGCUGGGGAAGGACGUCUUAAUAUUUACAACGGGUACGAUUGCGACGUACAUGCACGUUCGCUAUCAUUAAACGUUGAUCGUAUUAUACAACCCCUUGGAAUGAUGAACGUUAACUAUGCGCUUGUUUCUCGAGAAGACGUCUUUGAAAUCAUUUUAAAAUUCGAUCGGGAAUGUACUUUUGUUCCCGAGAAUUUCGAGUUGAAUACGACUGUCACAGUUUCCGAGGGGAAAGAAAUAUCAUAUUACUUGACACGAUUAAAUACAAGCACAAUCACAUUAAACCGAGUUGGUGAUUACGAUAAUUAUAAACAAAACAAACAAGGAAAUCCAAGCUUGAGGGUUUUGAUUGACGAUAGUUUUGGUUUCAACGAUAAUAUUUCAUUAAUCAGUAGCAAUGAAAAUCGAAAUUCAUAUUCGUUUUCUCCAUCCCAACGAAUGCAUUUCAAUGAAGUACAUAUAGGAAAAAUGGACAAAUGACACCCACGUCCAUGGAAAUGAUUCCGGCUACAUUUUACACAAUCACUUUACAAAAAAAUGGCAACAGAACGGAUAUUAAGCUUUUUAGCAAAUACAAAGGCAACUAUUUACAUAUAUUUUGGCAAUUUCCACAAUAUUUUUUUAUGAUCUCAAGUAUUACGAUU
rnacentral:misc_RNA from 1 species